rnacentral:pre_miRNA from 1 species
AUAUGAAUCACCUACACAUCUUAUUAAAAUGCAGAUUCUGAUUUGGUAGGUCUGGAGUGGAGCCAGAGAUUGUGCUUCUAACAAGCUGCUGCUUGGUUGAAGA